GUUUUAAUAGUUUAAUUAAAAAUAAUGAUCUUGUAAAUCAUAGAUAGAGUAUCUUUAAAACU
rnacentral:tRNA from 1 species